CCCUUGGAGAGUUGUAAGAAAUGAAAGUAGAUUACUCGGUAUAGUUUUCAAAAUCUGACUCGUAGAACAGGGAA
rfam:Clostridium perfringens str. 13 DNA, complete genome.